rnacentral:lncRNA from 1 species
AGUCCGCAGCCGCCGUCCAGCGCGCAGGUUACGCCGGAGCACAGGAGCGGGAGCCGGAGGCCCGAGGCCCGAGCUGCCAGGGCGGCGCACGCUCACCCGCGCGGACCGGGCCGCGUCCGUUCCCACUCGGGCCGCUCCGGUCCAGGCACAGGGCCGAGCUUCCGGCCGAGUAGCCGGGAAGCUCCGCAAUCCCAGCCAGGGUUUGAGGGCCCCGCGCCUGCGCGCGGCGGGAGGCGGAGCUUCAUCUGGCCACGCCCUCGCGGUGACGCGCUGCAGAGGGCGGUGCACAGGGUAGCGGGCAGAUGUGGGAAUCCUUUUGGAAGGCUCUAGCAUGGAGUAGGCUGGUGAGAAAGGAUUGCCAGGAAGGGCGGGGGCCGCCACGCUUAGAAAGUGGGAAGUUUGAGUGGGCCAGAAAACCUCCUCCUGUCAGCUACUGAGAAUAACUCGAGAAUCCGAGCAACUUGAUAUGGCGUAGUUAAUAUGCCAAAUAUUCAUAGCUGCAGCACUCCGCCCCGCGCUGUGUAAACCAAAACUAAAACCAACCUUCAGUCUCCCUGGUUCCAACGGGUGGCCUUCACGUUGCCAACUUCUGGAACAGCCUGACAGGGCCCAGGACUUGCACUUCUGUUGGGGUGGGGAGGAAGUAGGACAGGAGAAGCAGGGAAAUAGAGAUGAAGGUCAGAGCACAACGUUGGGAAGCCAGUUCUCUCUGCCUUGGUGAGGUAGCAUCUCUUGUUUCUGCUAUGUUGUGCAUUCCACAUAGAUCAGUGCCUCAUUCUGCCAUCAUCAGAGAAAGUUUUCUUCAGAGAGAGCGACAGAGACAGAGACUCAAUCUCCAUCAAACCCCUCUUCUCAGGGCUCAGAGAGCCAGGGAGAAGAGACAGAAAGAUUGUAAGAACCAGAGAUGACCCUAGGAAAACUGUCUUCCAGACACAACAGCACUGACACAUAUAUAUGAACUCCUAGAAAUAGGAUGCUCAGGGCCUGAAUAGGUUCAAGACAGAUGGAGUCCUAGAACAGAGAAGCAAGAAGACAUGAGCUCCUAUCCCUAAGAAGCUGUCUCCAACUGAUACCUGCUUGCAAAGAAAAAAAUAACUUUCUCCAUUGGAGUCUCACAGGGUGUACAAGCCAGCCACCCUUAACAGUAUGUCCCAUGCCCAGCAGUGGAUGACCAGAUCAAUGGUAUUUUAUUUGCAUGUAUGUCUGUAAACCAUAUGUGUACAGUGCCCACAGAGGCCAGAAGAGGAUGUUAGAACCCCUACAACUGGAGUUACAGAAGGUUGUGAGCUACCAUGUGGGUGCUGGGAAUGGAAUGUGGGCCUGGGAGAGCAGCCAGUGUUCUUAAUCACUGAAACAUCUUCUCCAGCCCCUCCCUAUGCUUUCGGUUUUAAAGUUGACUUUGAAAAGAAUCAGACUCUGAGAAGUUUUGACGAAUGAAGCAUCCCUGCUCUUCACAUGGGCACAGUUCACGUGCUUGGAGCAGGAUUUGUGUUGUUGAACAGUGUGAGGAUACAUUAUAGCAUCCAAAGGCAAGGCUGUCCUUUCACGUAUCCACAGAGCAAUGCUCAAAUUUAGGUAAUUUAACACCGAAGCAAUACUAUGGCUGUGAUUCAGUCUCUAUUUAAAAUUUGCCAGUUGUAGUCUAAGGCAGGCUCUCCCUCCCCAGCCCAGGCUGGAUUGAAACUCUAAACACUGGGAUGCCAGGCCUGUUUCUCCACUCUGGGUUCUCUUCCUGCUUCCUUUAUGGAGUCUUUUGACGAGUAAAACUUAACAAGUUUAAUGUACUUAGGUUUGUCUGUCUCUUCUUCUGUAGCUAGCAACUUUGAUGUCCAAAAAGCCUUGCAUAUCCUAAAAUGAAGAUGUCUUUUCUUAGGAUUUUUGGGAAGCUUUCGUUUUCUCGUUUAUAGUUAAAUCAUGGCUCCACGUUGGAGUUAGUUUGUGUUUGCUAUGAAGUAAGGAUCCACUUCUUGAUUAGAAUGGAGAGGAUGUGGACUUCAGUUGCAAGAGGGUAGUUGACUGAAUAGUAGUUAUUAAGUAGGACCUUUUCUCAAAUGACUGUCAAUGCUACAUCUGGGAUGCAUCAAUGUUUCAAAAUGC